GUGCUCGCUUCAGCAGCACAUAUACUAAAAUUGGAGCGAUACAGGGAAGAUUAGCAUGGCCCUUGUGCAAGGACGACAUGUAAAUUCGUGAAGAGUUCCAUUUUUUU
ensembl:snRNA U6 U6 spliceosomal RNA